AAUCUUCCACAAUAGGCGAAAGCCUGAUGGAGCAACUCCGCGUGAGUGAAGAAGGUUNNNGGAUCNUCAAAAUCUGUUGCAAGNGAANAACAAGUACAGUAGUAACUGACUGUACCUUGACGGUACCUUAUUAGAAAGCCACGGCUAACUACAUCCCAGCAGCCGCGGUAAUACGAAGGUGGCAAGGCUUGUCCGGAAUUAUUGGGCGUAAAGCGCGAGCAGGCGGUCCUUUAAGUCUGAUGUGCAAGCCCACGGCUCAACCGUGGGGGGUCAUUGGAAACUGGUGGAGUUGAGUGCAGAAGAGGAAAGUGGAAUUCCAAGUGUAGCGGUGAAAAGCGUAGAGAAUUGGAGGAACACCAGUGGCGAAGGCGGCUUUCUGGUCUGUAACUGACGCUGAGGCUCCAAAACGUGGGGUGCAAAAA
rnacentral:rRNA from 1 species